AUGGCGAGCCAGGGCGACGCGAGCGGGAAGAAAGACUACUCCACGGCGAUCCUGGAGAGGAAGAAGUCGCCGAACCGGCUGGUGGUCGACGAGGCGACCAACGACGAGAACUCCACCGUCGCCCUGCACCCGGACACCAUGGACAGCCUCGAGCUCUUCCACGGCGACAUCGUCCUGCUCAAGGGCAAGAAGCGAAAGGACACAAUCUGCAUUCUACUCCCAGACGAGCGUGAGGGGCGGCAUGACGAGCGUGGAGUUCAAGGUUGUGGAGACCGACCCUGCCGACUGUUCAAGUGCAUCGGUGUGAAGCCUCCAAAGGGUAUCUUGCUGUAUGGGCCACCUGGGACCGGCAAGACCCUCAUUGCCAGAGCUGUGGCUAAUGAAACAUGCGCCUUCUUCUUCCUGAUCAAUGGCCCGGAGAUCAUGUCGAAGAUGGCCGGAGAGAGCGAGAGCAACCUCAGGAAGGCGUUUGAAGAGGCCGAGAAGAAUGCGCCGGCCAUCAUCUUCAUCGACGAGAUCGAUUCCAUAGCCCCAAAGAGAGACAAGACCAAUGGAGAGGUCGAAAGGCGUAUUGUCUCGCAGCUGCUCACUCUCAUGGAUGGGCUCAAGUCCCGCUCACAUGUUAUUGUCAUGGGUGCUACCAACCGCCCGAACAGCAUCGACCCUGCUCUCAGAAGGUUUGGCAGGUUUGACCGGGAGAUCGACAUUGGAGUCCCCGAUGAAGUUGGGCGGCUUGAGGUUCUCCGGAUUCACACCAAAAACAUGAAGCUGGCUGAAGAUGUUGAGCUGGAGCAUGUCUCGAGGGACACUCACGGGUAUGUCGGCGCUGAUCUCGCCGCCCUUUGCACCGAGGCUGCUCUCCAGUGCAUUCGCGAGAAGAUGGAUGUUAUCGACCUCGAGGAUGACACCAUUGAUGCGGAGAUACUGAAUUCUAUGGCUGUCACGAACGACCAUUUCAAGAUUGCAUUAGGGACAAGCAACCCUUCCGCCCUUCGUGAAACUGUCGUUGAAGUUCCAAAUGUCUAUUGGGAAGAUGUCGGUGGUCUUGAGGGUGUCAAAAGGGAGCUGCAGGAGACCGUCCAGUAUCCGGUGGAGUACCCUGAGAAGUUUGAGAAGUUUGGCAUGUCUCUCUCCAAAGGUGUUCUGUUCUACGGCCCUCCGGGCUGCGGCAAGACCUUGUUGGCCAAGGCGAUUGCUAACGAGUGCCAGGCUAACUUCAUCAGCAUCAAAGGACCGGAGCUGCUUACCAUGUGGUUUGGUGAGAGCGAGGCCAAUGUGCGUGAGAUUUUCGACAAGGCAAGGCAGUCGGCACCAUGUGUCCUCUUCUUCGAUGAGCUUGACUCGAUUGCCACCCAGAGAGGAAACAGUGUCGGCGAUGCCAGAGGCGCCGCUGAUAGAGUGCUGAAUCAGCUUCUUACCGAAAUGGACGGAAUGAAUGCCAAGAAAACUGUGUUCAUUAUCGGUGCCACCAACAGGCCAGACAUCAUAGACCCAGCCUUGCUUAGGCCUGGGCGCCUUGAUCAGCUCAUUUACAUUCCUCUGCCUGAUGUCGAAUCAAGGCUCCAGAUCUUCAGGGCCUGCCUUAGGAAGUCUCCUGUGGCCAAGGACGUUGACCUGAAUGCACUCGCCAAAUACACGCGAGGGUUCAGCGGCGCAGACAUCACGGAAAUCUGCCAGCGUGCGUGCAAAUACGCCAUCAGAGAGAACAUUGAGAAGGACAUGGAAAAGGAGAGGCGGCUGAAGGAAAACCCUGAAGCCAUGGAGGAAGACGAGGUGGACGAGAUCAAGGCUGCUCACUUCGAGGAGAGCAUGAGGUAUGCACGCCGGAGUGUGAGCGAUGCUGAUAUUCGCAAAUACCAGGCCUUUGCUCAGACGCUGCAGCAGUCCCGUGGUUUCGGUACCGAGUUCCGGUUCGUUGAUCAGCCGGCGGCAGGCACUACCGCUGCGAUAGAUCCUUUCGCAUCCUCUACCACGGCAGCUGAAGAAGAUGAUUUGUACAGUUAA
rnacentral:rRNA from 1 species